CGGUAGCUGGCAGUGCCUUUGCCCUGAGAUGGGCCUCACUGUGCAAGAGGAGCUGUUCAAACCUGCAGAUACAUGGUCAUGGUCCCGGUGAUGUGACUGCUGGCCACUCUGAAGGCUUCUGCAGAGAGAAGCUGCAGUUGGGGGGAGCAGCAGAUGUGGAAGAAGACUGCCCUGGCUGGUGGAGACUCCAUCAAUGCCAGAUUUGUCACUGACUGGCCUGCUUGGACUUGCUGUGGAAGAUUGAUGGGGCUCAGGGCUCACAGCCCCCACUCCAGUAACCUUGUCAGAGCCCCUCACUGGUGAUCUCAGGUAUCACACUGGUCCAUUACACCAAUGACAUUAUACUGAUUGAAGCAAGUGAUCAUGAAGUAGCAACCAUUAGACUUCUUGGUAAAGCAUUUGCAUGUCAGAGAUGAGAAAUAUAUCCAACAAAAUUCAAGGGCCUUCUACCUCCAUGAAAUUUACACUAGUCCGUGCUGUGUGUCAUGAAGAGAUGCUUCUUCUAAGGUGAAGAAUACGUUGCUGCAUCUAGUCCCUCCUACACCCAGGAGACACAAUGCCUAGUGGGCCUAUUUGGAUUUUGAAGGCAACAUGUGUCCUCCUCACCUGUGUGUGUUACUCUGGACUGUUUGUUGAGUAACUCACAAAGCUGUUAGCUUUGAAUGGUGCCUGGAAGAAGAAAAGGCUCUGCAGUAGUCUGGGAGGUUCAAUAAGCUGCCCUGUCACUUAAGAAUGCAGUCCAGACACAAUGGAACUUAACUCUGACAGAUACAGAUGCUUUUGGGUUCUGGCAGACUCUAAGAUGAGUCACCAUGGAAGUCCUCAAAUUUGGAGCAAAACUUUACAUCACCUACAUAAAAUACUCUCCCUUUGAGAAAUGGCUUCUGGCCUGCUACAAGGUGUAAGUGUAAACUAAGUGUGUGACCAUGGGACAAUAGGUUAUCAUGGUCGUCGUGAACUGUAUGCUUUCUGAUCCACUGAAUCAUAAAUUUGGACAUGUAUAGCAACAACCCAUCACCAAAUGGAAAUGGUAGUAGGUGACUGGGCUCAGGUGAGUUCUGAAGGUAAAACUAAAUUACAUGAAGAAGUGGUCCAAAAACCCAUGGUUCCUACUCCUGCUACACUGCCUUCUGUCACCCCAGCACGUACCUAUGGUGCCCUCCAUAUACUAGUUCACUGUUUGACAGGAGACAGGAAGACUAAGGCCUAGUUUACAGAUGCUUGUGGGCCUUGUGCAGGCACCAUCCAAAAGUGGGCAGCUGCAAUCCUACAAGCCCUUUCUGGGGCAACCCUAAAGGACAAUAAUAAAGGGAAAUCUUCACAGCAGGCCACACUUUGAGUAGAAUGUCUAGUUAUAUAUUCUGCUUGGAAGAAAAAAUUGUCAGACAUGCAACUGUAUACAAACUGAUGGGCUACAGCCAAUGGUCUGGUUGGAUGUUCAAGGACAUGGAAGGAACGUGAUUGGAAAAUUGGCAAUACAGACACUGGGGAAGAGAUAGGUAAAUAAUUUCUCCAAAUGGAAAGGAUGUGUAUUCCAUGUAAAUCCUCACCAAAGAUGACCUCCACAGAAGAGAACAUUAAUAAACAAUUGGAUAAGAUGGCUCAUUCUAUGGCUAUCAGUCAACCUCUUUCCCCAGCUACCCCUGUCAUUGCCCAAUGAACUCAUGAACAAAGUUAUCACGGUGGCAAGAAUGCAUAUGCUCAGUAACAUGGGCUUCUAAUCACCAAGGGCGAUCUAGUUACAGCUACUGCUGAGUACCCAAUCUGCUAGGAGCUGAGACAAACUGAUAUGGCACCAUUCCCAGGUAAAUCAGCCUGUGACCUGGAGGCAGGCUAUGUUGGACCACUUCCACCCUGGAAAAGGCAGCAUCUUGUUCUUUCCUUUUUUUUUUUUUAAACUAGGGAUCAAACUCAUGACCUUGCACUUGUCAAACAUGCAUUUAUGCCACUGAGCUAAACCCCGAGCAGCAUUUUGUUCUUAAAGGGAGAGAUACUUGUUGUAGGUAUAAAUUUGCCUCGACAUAUCUCUUCUGCCAAAACUACCAACCAUGUACUUACGAAUACCUCGUGGACAAUCAUGGUAUUCCAUGCACCACUGUUUCUGAUGAAGGAAUGCAUUUCAUAGCCAAAGAAGUGUGACAAUAGGCUCAUGCUCACAGAAUUCACUUCAUUUACCAUAUUUGCCACCAUCCAGAAGCAGCAAGAUUGACUUCAGUGGAAAGGCCUUUUGAAGAUACCAUUACAGUGCCAGCUAGAUGGCACUUGCAGAACUAGGUCAAAGUUUUCCAGAAAACUGUGUAUGCUCUGCAUCAGUGUCCGAUAUAUGGUAAGUUUCUCCCUUAGCCAGGAUUCAUGGGUUCAGGAACCAGGGGUGAAAAUUGAUAUCCUACCACUCACCCUGGUGAAACAAACUUUUUGCUUCCUCUUCUAAUGAUCUUAUGCUCCGCUGGCCUAGAGGUCUUAGUUCCAGAAAGGAGAAAACACAUUGAACUAGAACCAGAACUUCCUCCUGGCCAUUUGGGAUUCUCAUGCCUCUGAAUUAACAAGCUGAAAGGGGAGUUAGGGUGUUGGAUCAAUCCAUAUUACCAGGGGAAAUUUGGAUAACUACUCCACCAGGGAGAUAAGGGAGAAAAUGUGUUGAGUGCAGGAUAUCCCUUAACGUGUCUCUCAUACUAUUACCAUGUACUGUCACUAAAGUCAGUGGAGAACUACAACAACCUAACCUAGGAAAGAUGACAAAUGGCUCAGAACCUUUGAGAUGAAGGUAGAGUCACCCCACCAGGAAAACAUUGUUGUCUUAAUAUGCUGAUACUUAAGUAUUAUUAAAUCUGUCUUACAAUAUUUAAAUUACAGAAUGUCAAGAGGCUUCACUCAAAGAAAAUUUUUGCCUUCUAUUCUGGGAAGGAAAUAAUUGUUUCCAUUUGUGACAGGGUAGGUAUAUCAUGUUAAGGGUAUUUACAAGCUUGUUAUUGCAUUUGGCAGUUAAGCAUAGUUUAAGAAGACAUGUCCAGUCGUCAAGUGACAAAGAGUGGAUUGUGAGCAGUAAUCACGACAUGUCGAUUUGAAUGGAUUAUGAACCAUCUAACAAAUUAUUGAGGUACAGUACUGUGGCUGUGAACAAUUGACCUGUAGGCCAGCAAAGCGAGAGGUGGGAAACCCAACCUGGAUAUGGGUGGCGCCAGCCAACAGACUUGGAUGGGGUACAGCGAAAGAAGAGGGAAGUGUGUUCAUUUUGGAAGAGCCCCAGUCUUUACCAUCAUCUUUGGACAUCAGUCCCCAGUUUCUCCAGUCUCCCAGUGCAGGCUCACACAGCAACUCUACAGUGAGCCUUCAAACUUGGACUGGAACUGCAUCCUGAUCCUUCUUGUUCUGUGGCUUCCAUCAUCUUGGGCUGAGCAGCUAUGGACUCAUCCAACCAUGCAACCCACUGCAGGAUAUUCUGUCUGACCCUAUAGACAGCCAUUGUGAACUCCCCUGUCUCUGAUCCUGUACGCCUACAUAAGAAAUUUCCUUGCAUAAUUAUACAUAUGUCUUUAUCGAUUCUGUUUCUCUAGAGAACCCUAAUUCAGUAACUUUACAUAAAAUAAUAAUGAUAUAUAUAAAUAGAAGUAUAAAAUAAGGUCCAGGAUAGUGAACACAUGCCAGCUGCCGCAGCCAGCAUAUAACUAUCACUGAACAUCCUUUGGCUUUGAACUUUUUGGCAGUCAAGGAGAUAAGAAAGACAGAAUAGUAUUCCUAUGUCAGUAAUUUAUUUAGCCUGAACACGGUGAUGCAUGCCUGUAACUCCAGUGCUCUAGAAGGCUGAGGCAAGAAGAUUACAAGUUCAAGUCCCACCUAGACAACUUGGUGAGAACUUGUCUCUGCUUUAAUCUUUACAUCCUUUAAUCCUUAUAAAAGUUAUAUGAAUUAAUCUGGUGUCAACCAGUCAAUUAUUUUCUAUUCUGUGCCUCUGUCCUCACUUUACAAAGAAAGAAACUUUUUGUUCUUUGUUUCUGACUUUUCUCACUUUAAUUUUAAAUUUUUUAAAAUUUAUUUUAUUUAUUUUUUGACACAAGAUUUCACUAUGCAGUUCAAGCUGUCCUUGAACUCCCUUUGUAGCUUAGGCAAGCCUCAAACUCAUAGUGAGUCUCCUGCCUCAGCCUCCUGAGGGACUGCAGGUGUGCAACAUUACACCCAACUUAAAUUGUUAAUUGAUACGCAAAAGCAUAAAAAUCAUAUAUAAAUGGGGUACUUUGUAAUGUUUGAUAUGUCUCUAUUUUUUUAGCCCUUCUUUGCCUAUAAAAUUAACCUCCUUUCUUUGCCUAUCUGGACACUUAUUUUGGAGGUAGUAAGAGGGCCUGUGUUCAGGCUGAUCUUGAAUUCACAAUGAUCCCCCUGCCUCACCCCCUUGAAGGCUGGGAUUAGAGGCAUGCACAUCACACAUGGCUAACCCGUCAGGGCACUUACUCUGCUUUAUGGAAUGAAGAAUUACCCUGCUUCUAGAAUAAUAAAUAAAGACAAUUAAGAUCUCUAAAUAAAACUGGUGUUAUUUUGUCGUUUAACAAGUCACAUAUUCCUUUGUUUAUCCCCUCAGCCGACUCCAGUGCAUGGAUGCUAUGUUUUAGGUCUAGAUGUCUCCCUUCCCCAAAGCUCAUGUGACCAGUGGUGGGGCUUUGGGAAGUGACUGGAUCCGGGAGCUGUACAGCUGCUUGCUGGGGGAAGGAGUGGAGGGGUUUACCUGCCUUCCUGGCCUCCAGGACUCUCUCUCUGACUUGGCUGUCACGCUAUAAGCAGCUUCUC